GAUGAAGCCCUUCGGGGUGGAUUAGUGGCGAACGGGUGAGUAACACGUGGGCAAUCUGCCCUGCACUCUGGGACAAGCCCUGGAAACGGGGUCUAAUACCGGAUAUGACCGUCCAUCGCAUGGUGGAUGGUGUAAAGCUCCGGCGGUGCAGGAUGAGCCCGCGGCCUAUCAGCUAGUUGGUGAGGUAGUGGCUCACCAAGGCGACGACGGGUAGCCGGCCUGAGAGGGCGACCGGCCACACUGGGACUGAGACACGGCCCAGACUCCUACGGGAGGCAGCAGUGGGGAAUAUUGCACAAUGGGCGAAAGCCUGAUGCAGCGACGCCGCGUGAGGGAUGACGGCCUUCGGGUUGUAAACCUCUUUCAGCAGGGAAGAAGCGAAAGUGACGGUACCUGCAGAAGAAGCGCCGGCUAACUACGUGCCAGCAGCCGCGGUAAUACGUAGGGCGCAAGCGUUGUCCGGAAUUAUUGGGCGUAAAGAGCUCGUAGGCGGCUUGUCACGUCGGUUGUGAAAGCCCGGGGCUUAACCCCGGGUCUGCAGUCGAUACGGGCAGGCUAGAGUUCGGUAGGGGAGAUCGGAAUUCCUGGUGUAGCGGUGAAAUGCGCAGAUAUCAGGAGGAACACCGGUGGCGAAGGCGGAUCUCUGGGCCGAUACUGACGCUGAGGAGCGAAAGCGUGGGGAGCGAACAGGAUUAGAUACCCUGGUAGUCCACGCCGUAAACGGUGGGCACUAGGUGUGGGCAACAUUCCACGUUGUCCGUGCCGCAGCUAACGCAUUAAGUGCCCCGCCUGGGGAGUACGGCCGCAAGGCUAAAACUC
rnacentral:rRNA from 1 species